AACCCAUGGUGAGGACAUGAAAUCUCAAGAUCCUUAAAGCGCUCCCAACACUCAUGGAAACUUUCUUGUGGGAGUUAUCAAAAUGCAAUUAGCUCAUCUCUAACAUU
rnacentral:snoRNA from 1 species